ensembl:lncRNA
AUUUGAGAGGUUUUAUUUUGUUGUGUGGUUCAGGGUGUUUUUUUUUUUAAUGUUUACUUCUCACAAAGCACACGGAGCAGUAGAAAGCAACAGCUACUGUUAUUAUGUAUCUUUCCACGGAGCCUCAUUAGUAUCAGGGCAUCUGUGGCACACAGAGCUGUGAGUGCUAUUUGUUUAACUAAAUCCUUACAAUCAGCCCCUUUCUGGACAAUUUGUAACAAACAUAGCUGUGUGGUUCUCCUCUUCCUUCCUCCUACCGCUGCCACUCCUGGCUUUGCUCCCAGACAAUUCUCCUCUCCGGCACAGAAGAUGUCCCUUAUUACAAGCCUGAGCCAUCACAUCACAACAAUUAAAAAAACACUUGCUAUAGUAAUUUUUUUGUUGUUGUCCCUGCCUGGUUUGAGGCUACAAUGUGCAUUCUAUCUCCACAACAGCUGUACUCACACUGGAACCUCCAGCCCAACAAGCAAUACCACAGAAGAGUUAUAUUUCUUUGCCUGCAAAUAAAUAACUAAAAACAGGAUGGUGGUUGUAAGAGAUGAGAAUAAUCUGACUUUCCUCAUUAUCAUCAUCAGAGAUUGGAGGCUAUUUGAGAAUACGGGCCAACACGUUUACAUGUGCCAAACCCUAACAAAAUUCUCAAGUUAUUUAGGUGCCUCCUUCAAUAUCAGGAUGUCGGACAUCUAAUUAUUUUUGAAGUAAGCUUAACCAAGACUUGGCAAAUUGGGUUUUCAUUUCUGGGAGCUUAGUUCUUACUGAAACUCCACAGGCAUGGAACAUGCUGAUUCUUCUCAGUUUAUUUGAAAAUCUCUGCUCAUUUUCUGCUGUCACUAAAAGCUGGGGAUGCCAGCUCAUCUACAAAGGAUGUAGUGAGAUGGAGGUUUCAGCUCAGAUCAGUAUUAUGGCUGUCAGGUACACGAAUAUUUCCCUCUGCCUGCUCCUGUAAGCAGAGUCAAACCUGUUCCGAGGAUAACCAUAGAAUCAUUAAGGUUGGAAAAGACCUAGUCCAACCAUCAGCCCAUCAUUACCAUGCCCGUUUAAACAUAUCUAAUAACUAAAAUAAAUUUUGAAUUAAUAUUGAAAACAUACAUUAUACCCCAUAUAAGCAAAACUGUAUUUAUAGUCUAUGUCAAUCAUUUAUUUAUUUAUUUAUUUUAAUCAGGGAUCUCUACUAUCUGUUUAAAUACAAUCACUUUGUAACUGAAAUCACCUUACCUGUACUGAUACGUGAGUUGACAGUAUACAAGUGUAUGGGAACUGUUAAAUCACGGCCUGAACCUCCGAUUGACCACUUGAGGCAAGCACUGAGUCAGCCAGGGGAGCACAGGUGAAGGCAAUUCAGCUGUGUAACCAGACGGGGUGGAGCCUGGCUGCACCUCUCCUAGACCCCAUUUAAGGGCUGACUGCCAUGGGAGAAGGAUUUUUUUUCCUGGAGGUUGUUCCUUGUGGAGUUUUUAUGAGCCUACAACACUGGUGAGCACCUUUUGUUUAUAUCAGAUUAACUUUUCCAAUGUGAUAAUCUUACCAGCCUAACUUCUCUGUAUAACAUCUGUAUGCUUAUUAACCAUACAACAAGUUUCCAUCUUUUACGAGCAGCAUGCCUGGGUUUCCAAUCAAACUUUGAAGGCAUAACUUCAAUCAGGAGGUCAUGAUAUGGACACUCUUCUUUCUUGCGUUACUGAGAUUCUAUGAAUAUUACGAUUUUAUGUAAAUGAGAAGUAGAAAGCUCUUUAAGUUCAGCAGUGACUGUAUUUGCUCGGGAGACUGGUACUUCUUCCUGAUUUUCUUUUAUGGCUGUUCCUCAUAUAUGACGUUUAACUUAAAGAUUUACUGACUCGUGUGAGAGAAAGUUACUUGUGGAGGUAGGCAUUGCUAAUUCAAACUGUUAAGUCCACUGGGAAACGGUUUUGACACUUGUCAUUAGUUCAUUUAUUACCUACUGUGAUGGAUGAACAGUUAUUGCUUUGAAUAUGCAUUUUCAAAUGUAAUAUUUAAUAAAAAGUAGCCUGUUAC